rnacentral:snRNA from 1 species
GGAUGUCAGGGUGACAUGGCUGCGGCAACUAUCACCCCGUCUACCAGUUACUCUGGGAUGCUGUUCCCUCCCUAAGAACUCCACUGGAGGAAGAAGAGGUUCACUUUGCCCACACAGGAGUGCUCUUUGAUCAAGGGUACAGGAGUGGCUGGGCUCACCUACCAGAAUCUCCAAAUCAGGCCUCAGGGUCCAUGCAUAGAAGAAUACAGGUGGUCAGAAUAAAAAUGCAGUGAAUUAAACACUGCAU